rnacentral:lncRNA from 1 species
UUGCGUACACCACGCACGUCCCAUGCGUGUGUGCGUGCGAGAGGAUAGGAGUGCGCACGCCCCGCAACUACUGUGCGCUUGUGCACGCGCGCAUAGUGCUCAGCAUCCACGCGGGCAGUUCUGCUUCCCCACAGGAUUUCUUCUUAUUUUGCCAUUUUUAUGAUUUUUCUCAAUUUUUUAAAAUUAAUUUAAAUAAGUUAAAUGCGACCA